UACGGGAAAGCUUUCCUAGCUAAUUAUUUUUUAAAUCAUAAAUACCUUCUGUAGAUAACAUUAAUGAGAAAGUCGUUUUAUCAGAAGCUGUAAAUCAUUCAAUAAUAGGUUUUAAAACUAAUUAUUGCAAGGUAACUUUUAAAUUCUGUUAGUAUUUACUCCAAACAUUUCUAAAGAGGGGUUUUUGAAAUUUCUAAGGGGUCACAGUAUUUUCUCUACUAAAACUUUAAAUGCAUCUUUAAGUCUCUACAGUAACUCCUGUCAAAAAUCACAGUUGACUAAAAACACAAGGUUAACUUUAACAAAGGUAUUUCAAUGCAUCUUUUAGACAUUCUGAUGACGGACGGAGCUCUUCUGCAGGAGUCAGAGCUCCACAGGGGGAGCCAAGCCAUACAGGGCUCGGGAGGAGGACUGGAGUAUUGGCGAGGCUAUAAACUGUUCUGCUAUGUCAAAAUCUCCUCCCUUUAAAGCUUUCUGUCCCACUUCACUCCAAUGAACUGAUUUUAAACUUCUCCUGGAAAAUUCCCUUGGAUUAAAAUUUGACGGGUCUCUUCCUGGAUCCGGUGACCCUGCAUCUUGCAAAUCUGUCCCUUCUCCCGGGAUAAAACGUUUUCCUCGCUGUUGUCCCUGCUCCUUGCCACAGUAGAAGCGGCCAGAGGCGGUGCUGUAGAGAGGUGGCAACUCUCGGUGGGUACAAAAUGACAUAGGUGGCAAAAUACGGAAGUGAUCGCACGUGCGCAGUGAAGGCCUACAGGCAAAGCAGGUCUCUGCACACAGGCCGCAACUGGGCAUGCGCAAUAGCGCUGCAGGGCCCCUGCGCGCUCUCGUAACUGCGCUCGUUCGGGUGGGGUGCAUUCCUGCGUGGAGCAUUCCUGCGUGGAGCCUUGCUUGUAACAAGGAGAGGAGCCUGCAGGGCUGAGCGAGACACACAUGGGAUUAGGAGCCUUGCCCGUUCGCUCCAGGCCCGGCCACUCACCUUUUCCGGUAUACUGCUGCAGUGUAUUGUGCAUUUUCCGGAGUUUUUUCUCCUGGGAAGCCUCCCUUCCUCCGAAUGGAGCUGCCCUCCGCCUCCCACUGACACAGUCCCGCCCCGGGCUUUCCUGCCUUUUCACUCCGCAGGAGCCCCCAACAAAUUCAAAGGGUCUGGGUCUGCACGGCGUUGUCAUCACGUCACCAGGUCACCAGCAUGCGGGAGCUCAGGAUCUCUGAACAAUGAACCAACACGAUUUCACAGAAGCCAUUCAUUGAUUACAUUACACACUUAUUUAUACAUUCUAAAAUUACCGUUCACGGAAUCACGCAUCUUUUCAUUGGUGUCCCUAUGCUGUCUAUGCAUUCUGCACACACCCCUCGGGGCACAGGAUUGGUUACAGUCCAGGUGUUCAACCACCCUCUGUUAUCUGGCUCUUGUGGUCCUGUUUUCUUGUUUUUCAGCCUCUUCUUUCUUAUUGUUAGAACAGUUUAUGUCUCCACAAAUUUGAGAAAUUCCAGAUGGUCUGAUAAUAAACUCUAGAUACGGUUUGGCUGGAGCACACCAUGGCCCAAACUGUUCAGAUACAUUGGGCAUACAAAAGGAAAGCACACCCUACCUGAAGUUUUUAGUUGCCUGUCAAGUCAGGCUUACCAAAACUUGGAAUAAUUUUGGAAAAUUCUGUAAGACAAAAAUGGAAACUGUUUUCAG